rnacentral:rRNA from 1 species
AACGAACGCUGGCGGCAGGCCUAACACAUGCAAGUCGAGCGCUCUAGCAAUAGGGAGCGGCGCACGGGUGAGUAACGCGUAGGAAUCUACCUUGUAGUACGGAACAACAGUUGGAAACGACUGCUAAUACCGAAUACGCCCUUCGGGGGAAAGAAUUUCGCUAUAAGAUGAGCCUGCGUUAGAUUAGCUAGUUGGUGAGGUAAUGGCUCACCAAGGCUCCGAGCUAUAGCUGGUCUGAGAGGAUGAUCAGCCACACUGGGACUGAGACACGGCCCAGACUCCUACGGGAGGCAGCAGUGGGGAAUAUUGGGCAAUGGGCGCAAGCCUGACCCAGCCAUGCCGCGUGAGUGAUGACGGCCUUAGGGUUGUGAAGCUCUUUUAGUGGUGAGGAUGAUGACGGUAACCACAGAAAAAGCCCCGGCUAACUUCGUGCCAGCAGCCGCAGUAA